GACAAAAGACGGUUGGAUUUUGAAUAUGCAUGGAGGGAGAGAGAAAGAGGAAAAAGUGGUGAAUGAGAUCAACUGGAAAGAAAGUAGGGGAAGAGCGGGAACUUGUCAGGGCAUUACGUAAGACUUGAUUUUUGACAAAGAGACGUGAGGAGAAAAGUGUACAAGUUUAUUUUGUGAAUUAUAAAUUAAAUAUUAGUUCAAACUACAGAAAAAUUUACGUGACGUAGAGUUAAACGUGUUCAGUGAAAUAUAAGAGGAGAAUUGGUGUAAAUAAAAUAUUGGUGAAGGUGAAAAGUGUGUUUUCCUGCCGCAGUGGACUUUGUUGAAUGGCAUUUGGCGGUCAUCGAGGAAACGUCUUCUGGAAAAUCCAGCCGCCUACGUUCCGGAUCACUGUUAGGGACAUUUAAUAAAGGAAUAUAUAUUUCCAGGUACGUGAAUAUCACAAACGGUAGAAGGAAGCCCAAGAAACACACAGUCCCUGACAGAUUUAUAACACCACAAUAUAUUUAUAGAGGGUAAAGUUGAAAAACAGCGAAAAAACGUGCAAGGUCACCCACAACGACGGUAACAAAAAUCUAAUAUUUAUAUUGGUGCAGAAUAUUUGAGUGGGCGUGGUUUCUAUGCGGGCAUUCCUACAUUUUUCCUCUAUCUCACACAUCAAACAAAAUUAUAUGAAUAUGGGAGGCGGAGCCUAUAUCUUUCCCCAGAUUGUCAUAGGAAGGAGAGGAUCUCAGUGGCGCAAUAGGCCUUUGGGUUUUGGAUGAUUACAUCUCUGACUCGACUGCCACCGUUGUGAAUUCGAGUCUCGCCCGGUGAAUGUCUGUUUUAGACAAUUUUCACAUGUAACAAAAACGUUAUAAAUGCAUCACCUUCGCCCAACAAUUCCAGGAGCACGAAACAAGCAAUCAAACAAUGGGCAUACACUCUUGGGUGGUCUACAAUGUACUUCGCAGAUGCUUUCAACACGGGGUAUGACAUUAUAAAAAUUAUUACCAUGUAAUAUAAAUAUCUCGAUACGAUUAAUAAUAUUGGUGAGAAUAGACCACGCCCCCUAUAUGAGCCUAUAAUAAGACAGUAUUUCACUAGAAAGAAAUUUCUGUACCCUCUAUUUCCAUUAACUUUACGAAAUGUGCAACGUUUAUGAAAUAGUAUUGAUACCACGCCCACUUAGAGACAACGCCUACUUGCAAUAUUCUAAGUAUUGCCUUCAAGCAAAAUUCCAAUUUUUAUCCUCCAUUUCGAAGGAUAUUAUUACAUUGUAAAACACAAACCGACGUAAUAUAGUUAACGAGGUUGGAGACCGAGCCGAAAGCUCUGCGAUAAGUUGAUGAGUUUUCCCUGAGUGAAUUGCUUUUCCCGACGAUUUCCGGAACCCCCACCUCGUUAGAUAUUAUUACACUCAAGAUUUGAUUUGCAAAAUAUUAUUAUCUUUAAAAGAUAGAUAAAAAAAAUUGGGGUUAAGGUUAACAACAAUUCUUACAAUAUGAAAGUAGGCGUGGUUUCUAAAACAGCGUGUUAUCAUUAUUUUUUCACUAACGUUACAUAUAUCGUAAAAUGAUUAAAAACGGAAAAAACACAAGGCACGAAAAUUUAUUUUUAUAGGAAUAUUGCCUUAUUAUAAUAAGCUGUAACAGAAGGGGCGUGGCCUAUUUUCCAUGGCAUAAAAUAGUAGAGAAUGUCAGAUUAUAAUUAUGAUCGUAACUAAUUUUCUCUGAAGGUAUUAGACUAUCUUUUAAAUAUGAAUUUUAAAUAUGAAAAACAAACUUAAAAUAUUUGGCACUAGUUAUCUGCAUAUUCGUGAGGGGCGUGACCAAUAAAAACGGUUACAGU